UACGUAGGGUGCGAGCGUUUAAUCGGAAUGACUGGGCGUAAAGGGUGCGCAGGCGGUUGGUCAAGACGGAUGUGAAAGCCCCGGGCUUAACCUGGGAGUGUCAUUCGUGACUGACGAACUAGAAUAUGGCAGAGGGAGGCGGAAUUCCACAUGUAGCAGUGAAAUGCGUAGAGAUGUGGAGGAACACCAAAGGCGAAGGCAGUGUCCUGGGGAGUACCUGACGCUCAGGUGCGAAAGCCAGGGGAGCGAACGGG
rnacentral:rRNA from 1 species